rnacentral:tRNA from 1 species
GGGAAUGUAGCUCAGCGGUACAGUGCGUGCUUUGCAUGCAUGAGGCCCUGGGUUCGAUCCCUGGCAUCUCCA